UACAUCGGAACGUACCCAGUUGUGGGGGAUACCCCGGCGAAAGCCGGAUUAAUACCGCAUACGACCUGAGGGUGAAAGGGGGGGAUCGCAAGACCUCUCGCAGUUGGAGCGGCCGAUGGCGGAUUAGCUAGUUGGUGAGGUAAAGGCUCACCAAGGCGACGAUCCGUAGCUGGUCUGAGAGGACGACCAGCCACACUGGAACUGAGACACGGUCCAGACUCCUACGGGAGGCAGCAGUGGGGAAUUUUGGACAAUGGGGGCAACCCUGAUCCAGCCAUUCCGCGUGAGUGAAGAAGGCCUUCGGGUUGUAAAGCUCUUUCGGCAGGAACGAAACGGUGGUCCCUAAUACGGAUUGCUAAUGACGGUACCUGAAGAAGAAGCACCGGCUAACUACGUGCCAGCAGCCGCGGUAAUACGUAGGGUGCGAGCGUUAAUCGGAAUUACUGGGCGUAAAGCGUGCGCAGGCGGUUCUAUAAGACAGAUGUGAAAUCCCCGGGCUUAAC
rnacentral:rRNA from 1 species